rnacentral:rRNA from 1 species
UACGUAGGGUGCGAGCGUUAAUCGGAAUUACUGGGCGUAAAGCGUGUGUAGGCGGCUACGUAAGUCGGAUGUGAAAGCCCCAGGCUCAACCUGGGAAGUGCACUCGAUACUGUGUCGCUUGAGUGUUGGAGGGGAUGGCGGAAUUCCCGGUGUAGAGGUGAAAUUCGUAGAUAUCGGGAGGAACACCUGUGGCGAAGGCGGCCAUCUGGACAACUACUGACACUGAGACGCGAAAGCGUGGGUAGCAAACAGG